UACGGAGGGGGCGAGCGUUAUUCGGAAUUAUUGGGCGUAAAGGGCGCGUAGGCGGCUGUACAAGUCAAAGGUGAAAUCCCUCGGCUCAACUGAGGAACUGCCUUUGAAACUGUACGGCUUGAGGCCGGGAGGGGGUAGCGGAAUUCCCAGUGUAGCGGUGAAAUGCGUAGAUACUGGGAGGAACACCAGUGGCGAAGGCGGCUACCUGGACCGGUUCUGACGCUGAGGCGCGAAAGCUAGGGGAGCAAACGGG
rnacentral:rRNA from 1 species